GUUCCUGUCAACACCCUGUCCCAGGGGCAAAGGAACAGGACAUUGAAACAUUCACUCAAAGUGAACUUGAACAGAGAGGAGCUGAGUUUUCGCACAUUCUGAGACUGCGAGAGAAGGUACAGUCCCCAAAAUCGGCGACGCCAUUUGAGUAAUUUGAUAUCAGUCCGCCCACUCCUAAUCUGGACUCUUAGUCGGAACUCCGCAGCUUUACAACUCUACGUAGACAGAAGAAGUGAGAACAGGAACGUGUGGAUUUAAUUAAUACUCACCACCACCGUACCGCACCACAAAAUCAUGGCUUCUGGAGGAUCUCUCUUUCUCUGCUGGACUCUGCUGUCAGUCUGUCAGAUGGUUUCUUCUUCUGCAGGUGAGUUCAGCUCUACAUUAUUCAGCUCGAUGUCGGCAGUCAUUAUUUUUAUAGCGUCACUAACCAUAUAAGUUGUCUCAAAACGCUUUACAAAACCUGUAAUAUCCUGGCUAGAUUUUGCCACUUCUCUCAAAGCCGAAUGACGUAGAGACAGGCACAUUGGAUCAGUGGGUAAAACAUCCACUCAACAGACUGAUUAAACUUCAGAUUUUGUUUCUAGCCCACAUAUUUAAUUUUAUGCCAUGUUAUGUUUGUUUUUGUGGGGAGCUGUGGUAAGAAAAGCAGGUUAACCGGCUCCUUGAGCCAGCACCCAAUCCACAACACAGCACAUGGCUCCCAGGGCGCGGUCCUUGAAAGCUGCAGCCGCUGUGUGAACGACUGGAUGGGUCGGAACCUUCUUCCUGUGACGGUCGGUGCUAAUCACCACGUCACUGGGCCAGCUGAAGGUUGAAAUUGUGGUAUUAUAAUAAAAUACGGCUAACAUUGUACACUGAUCCAUUUGAUUUGAAUUCAAUUGAUAUUUAAUCAGUUAUUAAAACCGGAAAUUUAAACCUUCCUACAUUUGCUUUAAUAGGUAUUCUGUGGCACUGAAACCUCCAGAGCUAGAACAACCAACAGUGUCAAGAAAGAAAAAAAAACUUUAACAGGGGAAAAAAAACCUAGAGACAGAACCUGAACCUGAACCUGAACCAGAACUAGAACCAGAACCCAGCUCACAGGGAGGGACCCAUCUGCCUAAGGCUGGGUACAGACAGAAAUGAGAAAGAAGACAACAGCAGGAGAAACAAGAUAAACAUCCAUCUGACAUACAUCUGCGUAUAGUAGAAUCUUGAAUUAUUUAUUUUAAUUUAGAAUAAGUGUAAUUUCUCCACCAAUGUUUGUUUACAUUUUUUGUUUACACCAUAGGCCCUUGAGGAAAAUUGAUGUUUCUGUAUCACUGCAUAUGAACAUUAUGUCUAAAUCUACAUUUAUCAUGGUUUGUCCACAUUCUCUGCUCCUAGUGUCUCAUUAGUCUGGAACACAUUUAGAAUCUAUAGUCAGUGUCUAGUAUUGAAAUAACAAAUGAAUGAACUGACUGCUGCAUGUUGACCUUUAACCUCUCUGCUCUGUGUUGUUUCCUUCAGAACCAAGAAUCAUCACAGCUGAAUCUGGACAGACUGUCUCUCUACCAUGUAAAGCUCUGAAGAAUGGACCUGUCACAGUUGUUGACUGGAGCAGAACCGACGUACAGCCAGAAAAAUGUCUCUUUUUAUAUCGAGGUGAUAGGUUAUGUACAGACAACCAGUAUCCAUCUUAUAAGGACCGAGUGGAUCUACAGGACAGACAGAUGAAGGAUGGAGACGUGUCUCUGAUUCUGAACAAUGUGACGACUGAUGACAGUGGAACAUACACGUGUCAUGUUCAGACUAAAACAAAGCGCAGGAAGAGAGAUGCUGAUCCCAUCACCACCAUCAAACUGCACAUAGAUCCAGGUCACACAUCUGGACACAAGGAGGACGGAGGAGACAAGGAGGGACUAAGUCGAGGACAUCCUGGUCUGAUAGUUGGUGGUGUUGUUGUGAGUCUUGUCGUGGCUGUUUUUCUGAUCACUGUAAGAAACAGGAAGAAGAAAUCUUCACCUCCCUCCUCAUCCUCCUCUCCUCCUCUUCAAUCAUCUGAUCAGCUCCUGGCCUGAAGCAGCCUGGCAGCUAUUGGGCCUGACCUCAGGAAAGGGCCAGAAAAUUCGACCAAAGAAAGUCCUAAAAAGACUCUCUUUCUUAUCAUUCACACCGAGGUGUGAAAUCCAAUGUAGUCAAAUCCUUGGCUCUCACUGGAUGUGCCCACGGGAUGUCCUGCUCGGGUGAGUAUCUGGUGCAUCCAGAUGACGUCACGAUGUACAGCAGGCAUCACCAAAUGGCAGACCCCGGUCCGGGCACGGAUCCAGUGACAUUUCUGCCGGGCCCCGUUAAAGUUCUAAACUGUGUGUGGUUGAACACUGGGAAGUUGCGCUUUCUAGAAAAAAAGCUGCCAUUAUGGUAAUGAUGACGCACCGCUGCUCAUAGAUUGAACCCAAAUUCUGUCGUUUUGUUACUUUAUGUUUUAUAAUAUAUUUUUAUAUCAUUGUAUGUAUUGUAUGUAUAAAAAUGAUAUAUGGAAAACUUUAGCUAUCUCUUCCAAACAUCUCAUCUCAUCUUCUAUUAUGGCUUAUCCUCACUUGGGUCGCAGGAGUUGCUUAAGCCUAUCCCAGCUAAUUAGAUGACAGCUAAUUAGCCAAUUAACCAUAAUAAAAGCAAAACAGACAAAAACAGGAAAAUAAUUACACAUAAAAGAACAGAACAGGAGACUCUCUCAGCCAGAGGCCACACAUAUUUUGUUGUUGGUUGUCCACUUUUCAAAAGUGCUAGAAAAGUUGUGUGUUCAAAAAACUAGACAAUUUCAUCGAAAAACAUAAGUUAUUAAGCAAGAGUAAAUAUGCUUCGGACAAAUCGGUCAACUGCUUUGGCAAUAAUGGAAAUAAUAGAAGAAAUCAGAACAGCAACCGACAGAAGGAAAUAUACAAUAGGAGUAUUCAAUGACUUAAAGAAGACUCAUUUGAUACAAUAGAUGACUCAAUUUUUAAUUGCUAAGUUAAGAAUAAUUGUGGUGUGAGAGGAGUUGGUUAACUAGUAAACUGGCUAACUAGCUAUUUAUAUAAUAGGCAACAAUAUGUGUAUUUUGCUGGUAAUACAUCUGAAUGUUUUUAUUUUAUAUUUCAAUGACAUUUGUUAAAUUUCUAAAUUGUUGUGGUUCGUUUUGUUUGCAGAUGGCACAAAUUUCUUCUGUUCAGGAGAUAACAUAAAACCAUACAUGAGCAAUGUAAUACCUUUGUUCUUAUUGAAGAAAAGAACAAUCUGAAUUGUCCACAAAGUUAAAUUUGGAGAACAAUAAUUUAUUUAUUACAUCAGGGUUAUUGAAACUUACAGAGAUAAUAGAACUUGAGACAUUGUUAAUUAUGCUCAAAGGCAAAAUUACCAGAAAACCUGCAAAAGCUAUUUGUGUUUACUUCAGAAGAUAAAACUCAUAGAAGAAGAUUCGAUUUUAAGCACCAAGUUGCUAAAACUACUUUAAAACAGAUGUGUAUUUUGGUUGUUGGAGUAAAAAUAUGGAACCCCCGAAUUCAGGAGUUAAAAGGUUGCUCAAAUAUUGACUAAUUUUAAAAUUAAGUAAAAUGUAUAAGUGUAUAAAUGCUGAAACAAUUGUCAAUAUGCACUUGAAAGUUAAACUGGAUGUUAACAAUAAAUAUUUUUGAGUUUGUAAAUUUGUACUUUGUAAGCUAUUUUUUAUUUGAUAUGUUUUGUUUAUUUGUGUUGUUGAUGUAGUAGGCUACUGAAAAUCAACUUUACAUGAUGUCAGACCAUUUUUUUCUUUUUUUAAUUGUUCAAGUAGGAGUCAGAUACAGAAAUACUUUCUUCUUGCUGCUCCUUUCCAGUUAAGUAGAUUUCAAAAUGUAGUGUGCAGUUAUGUACAAAUUCUGUUGUCCACUUUCAUGAAAGGAAUAAAUAAAUAUAAAUGAUUCCUCUCGGGUAGUAUAAGCGUGUACCCUUGUGGUGUAUGGUUUGCUGGGAAUGCAGAAGGUCUCUCAGCUCAACCAGUCACACAACAACAACAACAACAACACAACAGUUUUCCAGGUAACGUCAGGUCAACAACCUGCAACACAAAGGUCUAAAAUAGUCCAGCAGCCUCUCAUCAUGUGAUUGACCUGAUGCUACUCUGGCCUCAGGGCGUCAGCAGCUUAAAGCUGGAUCUCAGAAAUCAGACCCUGGAAACUCUAAUAUUUAGUCACAUUCUGGUGGGAUUCAGGGGGUUUCACUGCAGUCAGUCUGAAGCACUUUUUAAAAAAACGUUUCCAUCGUCAUCAACACCUCCCCCUCAGUCUGAACCAGGAAGAACAGAGCUGUUCCUCUUUAACACAGUCAGUUCUGAAAAUAAAAGAUGAUCUGACCAUGAGUAAUGUGGGAGGAGCAGAAAGGCGUGGAGGCGUGGUUUAGUAGCUGACGUAGCUAGUUAUUUCAUUCACCGGUAUUCAGAUCUACACCAGUAGCAGUAACGCACCAAUUCGCAAAGGAACAGCAAGAGAAGAAGAAAGUCCACACCGGUUGUCUCGUGGAUCCGUGCCGUCAUUCCCUGAGUUAUGUCCGUGGGUUCUCUCGGUGAGAAGCUGAUCGGCCGCAGACCACGCGGACCUGGCGCGUGGAGGGGGAGAGAAACCCCACGGAUGUCCGACAGCCCCCGGUCUCUGGGAACCCCUGAAACCCCUGAAACCCCUCCAAGAACCAGAGGCAGUGAGCAGUACCAUGACUGUUAUUUGGAAUGUGGAGUACUUAAAGGUCCUACAGAACUUGAACGCACCUAGAGCGAGAGCCCGGAUGUAAACAACGGCCGAAAAACUUAUUUCUGCUCUAUCGUCCGCUGUGAUGUCCACUUCAUCCUUCACCAUCAGCCCCAUGCUCCUCCUCCUCAUCAGCAUGUGUCUGUCUGAAGCUUCCAGAGACAAGGAGGAGGUCAAAGUGAAGUCUGGACAGGAUGUCACUCUUCUGUGUCGGCUCCCGACGGCUACAGCCAUCACCCUGUUCUCGUGGACCCGACCCGACCUAAAGGCCGACGGUUACGUCUUCUUCUACCGCAACAACCGCUCAUAUGAAAACUACCAGCAUCCACGGUUCAGAGGCCGAGUGGAGCUGAGAGAGGAGGCGGCCGUGAAGGACAGAGACGUUUCUGUGAUUGUGCGUAACGUCAGCGUCGGCGAUACCGGGACGUACGACUGCACGUGAUAAGCGGCGAGACGAGGAGCAGUGAUGGACGCUACAUACACCAGUACAAGCAAGUCACCAACCUCAACGUCACAGCCUCGGAUGGAGACACGGAGGACGCAAGAGACGAGGACGCAGGAGACAAGAGUGAAUACGGUGCAGUCAUAGUUGCUGUGUCCGUCAUUGCAGUGGUUCUUGUUGUCAUUGCUGCUGUUGGUUGCAUAAUGAUUUGUAGAAAGUAUAAAACUUUCUCAAAAUACAGCGUGUAGAUGCAGUAUCUGAGAAGUGUCUCUUUACUCCUGAGUGUGUUUGUUUGUUCUGCUGCUGUUUCUCAAAGAUGAAGGCGUCUUCAACCAGAGUCAGAUUCCAGAUUGUUCUAGAGAUGCAUGGACCAAAUCAAGCUUCAAAUGACCUGUUAGUGGAAAAUAACACAAAACAGGAAUCAGCUGAUCACCUCACGCCAUCAGGAUUCAAUAUAAUUAUCUCAUGUUUAACUUGCAAAGGUCAGUGCUCUGGCUAGAAUCCCUUUCUAAUCGGUGUUGGUGCAGUGUUUUCUGUGUCCAGCUACAACUUUGCUGUUUUAUCUCUGUUCUUGUGACUUCCUUCAAGCAGACAGUUAUCACAGGCGAUCUUUAAAAAGCCUGAGGACUCUUUUGAGGAGCUGGUGGAGACCAGACACAGAGCUUUAAAAAGAGUUGGACCAACUACAGCCUGCAGAAUCUAACAGGCGAUAUGUUGGUGUUUUUUAUUUUGUGUUGGGUGCUGUAUUCAGAGUGUGUCAUGAAGAGGAAACCUCAGUUCAUUAGAGUAAAGUCAGGACAGGAAGGAGUGAGGGCAGCUUUACAGACACAGGUGACAGCUUACAGUAGCAUGGCUAGCACGUUCACUGUAAAACUGCACUUUAUUUUUCACUAAGCUCCGUUUGCUUCUUUGCACAAACUGCAGCCAAUCAGAGCCCUCCUGCUUGUCUCGUUUCCACGUUUUUCCUUUCUGCUGCUGUUCAGUCCAGCUAAGAGAAAAGGACACUUUAUUAAGAAAUAUAACAUAUAAUAUAGUAACUUACUAUCAGGACUAUAAAUAAUACGAGUGUUACGUGAGCGUUUAAAUGAGUGUUAAAUAUGGUUUGAUAACCGUGUCAUAGUGUCUUUAUAUAUGUUUUUAUUGUGCCAGGCACUUUUUGUUCUUGGGACUUGAGCUCUGACCCUCUGUGGUUUAUCAUUGUCUUUAUCUAAUCUUCCAGUUUCACACGCACUUCAUUGCCUCGAGAGUUGAGCUGGUCUCAAAGGACUCACAGUGAAUGUGAAAGUAAAGCAGCUGAACUUCUAAAACAAGGAAAGAAAUAACACAUUGGCCAGGUGAAACGCAGCAGAACAGCAGCACUUUGUCACUUUAAUUUAAAAUAAAUAAGCUUUGUUGCA